CCUACGGGAGGCAGCAGUAGGGAAUCUUCCACAAUGGGCGAAAGCCUGAUGGAGCAACGCCGCGUGGGUGAAGAAGGUCUUCGGAUCGUAAAACCCUGUUGUUAGAGAAGAAAGUGCGUGAGAGUAACUGUUCACGUUUCGACGGUAUCUAACCAGAAAGCCACGGCUAACUACGUGCCAGCAGCCGCGGUAAUACGUAGGGGGCAAGCGUUAUCCGGAUUUAUUGGGCGUAAAGGGAACGCAGGCGGUCUUUUAAGUAUGAUGUUAAAGCCUUCGGCUUAACCGGAGUAGUGCAUUGGAAACUGGGAGACUUGAGUGCAGAAGAGGAGAGUGGAACUCCAUGUGUAGCGGUGAAAUGCGUAGAUAUAUGGAAGAACACCAGUGGCGAAAGCGGCUCUCUGGUCUGUAACUGACGCUGAGGUUCGAAAGCGUGGGUAGCAAACAGGAUUAGAUACCCCUGUAGUC
rnacentral:rRNA from 1 species